UACGAAGGGGGCUAGCGUUGUUCGGAAUUACUGGGCGUAAAGCGCACGUAGGCGGACUGUUAAGUCAGGGGUGAAAUCCCGGGGCUCAACCCCGGAACUGCCUUUGAUACUGGCAUUCUCGAGUCCGGAAGAGGCGAGUGGAAUUCCUGGUGUAGCGGUGAAAUGCGCAGAUAUCAGGAGGAACACCGAUGGCGAAGGCAGCUCGCUGGGACGGUACUGACGCUGAGGCGCGAAAGCGUGGGGAGCAAACAGG
rnacentral:rRNA from 1 species